AAGUCGAGCGAUUUACUUCGGUAAAGAGCGGCGGACGGGUGAGUAACGCGUGGGUAACCUGCCCUGUACACACGGAUAACAUACCGAAAGGUAUGCUAAUACGAGAUAAUAUGCUUUUAUCGCAUGGUAGAAGUAUCAAAGCUUUUGCGGUACAGGAUGGACCCGCGUCUGAUUAGCUAGUUGGUAAGGUAACGGCUUACCAAGGCGACGAUCAGUAGCCGACCUGAGAGGGUGAUCGGCCACAUUGGAACUGAGACACGGUCCAAACUCCUACGGGAGGCAGCAGUGGGGAAUAUUGCACAAUGGGCGAAAGCCUGAUGCAGCAACGCCGCGUGAGCGAUGAAGGCCUUCGGGUCGUAAAGCUCUGUCCUCAAGGAAGAUAAUGACGGUACUUGAGGAGGAAGCCCCGGCUAACUACGUGCCAGCAGCCGCGGUAAUACGUAGGGGGCUAGCGUUAUCCGGAAUUACUGGGCGUAAAGGGUGCGUAGGUGGUUUCUUAAGUCAGAGGUGAAAGGCUACGGCUCAACCGUAGUAAGCCUUUGAAACUGGGAAACUUGAGUGCAGGAGAGGAGAGUGGAAUUCCUAGUGUAGCGGUGAAAUGCGUAGAUAUUAGGAGGA
rnacentral:rRNA from 1 species